CCCUUAGACGUCCUGGACCGCACGCGCGCUACAAUGAUAGCUUUAAUGGGUUAAUAAACCUAAGCCGAGAAGGUUUUGGGAAAUCGUUAAAAGUAUUUGGUUUUCAUAGUGGGGAUCAACUAUUGUAACUAGUAGUUGUGAACUAGGAAUUCCUGGUACUUAGAUUUCACCAGAAUCUAGGGAUUACGUCCCUGCCCUUUGUACACACCGCCCGUCGCUACUACUGAUUGGACGGUUAAGCUAGAUGCUGGGAGACUUUCUUUUGUGACUUCGGUUGCAACUGAAGGGCAAACAGCUUCAAGCUGAACUGGCUAGAGGAAGUAAAAGUCGUAACA
rnacentral:rRNA from 1 species